CUGACUGAACAAGGUUCUCCUGUGCAAGGCACCUAAUCAGGAAAGUCUCAAAUUUGCUUAAAAUACAAGGUGCAAUACCAAAUUUAUUUAUAAUCUGCCUCACCUGCUCAGAUAAAACUGUUUCUAAAGUCAGGCAAUUGCAGGAGACAAGCUGUAAAAUGGAACAAAUGAAAUCAAAUCAGGUAUUAAUAACAGUGGAAUGAAAUUAUAAUAAAAAAGUGUCUUUUAGCAGAGUAUAAUUUCUGCUUUACAGAAAAUGCAGAUAAAGUAAAGUGACACACAAAAAAAGUAGUACAAAGUGGGAAGAAGUGAGAGGGACAAAGAAGAAGAGAGAUGAGGGUGUCUAGGUUGUGUUAUUCCAUGAGCACCACAAGAAAGACAGCAGGACCCCAGUUGCUUGAAGAGCUUGGUGCAAUGUGGUGCUCUUCAGAGACUUCUGCUGUGAAUUUGGACAUGAAGCAGACACUCCUGUAAAAGCCAGGCAGGCUGUGCCUUUACACAAAGCUGGGACACGGAGGAAGCCAAGACGUUUCAGAAGAAAGGGCACCCCGGCAGCCUCCAGUCAAGAGCCAAGGCAGGGUCUCCUCCUGUGAAAUAAUCCCCUCUCUGGGCUUGUCUGCAACAGG
rnacentral:lncRNA from 1 species